rnacentral:misc_RNA from 1 species
CCGAAGGAAGAAGCGUCUUUGUACUCUUACACCGUUCGAAGCAAACCUCGACACGUGCACUCGUUGCCACGUAGGCCCACUGCAUUCCUGCGUCGCCAAGACGGCACCCAUUUAGUCGUGCCACCGGCCGUCCCUGCCUCAAGCUCGUCUCCCUUUUCUGUGCAGCAGCUUUAACGGCGAGCUGUCGCUAUGCCACCCACGGAUGAGCCGUGCGUGCGCGUCUCGUACAAGAACAGCCACUAUCUCGUGCCGGUGGAGUUCAUCCUGCGCGUGCACCCGGGCGGGCCGCAACUUAUUCUGCAGUACGUGAACCAAGACAUCACGCAGGCGUUCGUGGACGCGAGGCACUCCGACACGGCAGUGCAGCUCCUAGAGCAGUGGAUGGAGGGUGCUCCGGCAGGUCCGCGACGGAUCAUGCCAUCUUCUGCUGCUGCCACGGAGGCACCACUGAAUGGACAUGGCGGUGAUGGCCGCUAUGCACAGAUGAUCUGGAACGCGUUAGUGUUCGGGAUCGCCGGCGCAAGCGCCACAGCAGCAGUGCUCUGUCGUCGGUAAAUGAAAAGAAAAAAAGAGAGCGCUCGUUCUCAGACGCUUCGCUCUGCUCGUGCUCGACAGGAAACCACCCUCGCCUUGGUUGCUUGGAGCGCUCUACUUCAAGCGCCAAGAACGUGUUUUGGUUCCGCACUUCCCCCAUCUCCUUUUCUGUGCACCCCAUUCGCAAGGCGUCCCACACAACGGCCAGGGUCGAUGGAUAGAGCGCAACACAACCCAUCCAUCCAUCCAGCAACUGACGACGGCGAAUACGUCCGAGAAGUGCUUCCCUCCCCCCGAUUUCCAGCGGCUGACGAGUGGAAGAAAAGACGGCAUGCACCCAAGCCCACUUUGCUCUAUCCAACUGCCCCAUCAACUAACCAGCACCCCUUAUCUUUUUGUUCGCUCUCCCCCCUCUCCUCCUCUUCUUGGGUUACUUAUCGUUUCGGCUCGUUUUGCCUUCUCCACUGGCGUUUUCGUUUUCUCCUGUGUGCCUCUGCUUGCGAGCGACAGGCAGCUCUUCAUGGACGCCUGCAAUGUGCGAUCUCUGUACGCGUCGGGUGGGGUGGGGGAAGGGAGGGCUCCACCGUGCGUGUGUGCACAUCCGAUGGUGGGCAGUGAUCACUUCUUCUUUGAAGCGUGUGCUAUUUCGUGAUGGAGCAAGACAGAAACAGAAUACAACGAGCGGCGUGAGCGACCAGCACAUUUUGCUACGUUGAGAGGGGCCAAGAUCUCACGCCCUCCCCCUCCCGGUUGUCUCUGCUGCACUCGCGACUCAAUGAGCGAACCGAAACGAAAAGCACAACAACAGUAUUAGCAGGGGCAAAAUCCGACCACCGCAUCACUUGCACACGCACCUCUUGAGCACCUAUGGCUUACCAUGUGCGUCUUGUUGCUGCUUAUCAUGUCUUCUUGCCUCCGCCGCCGUAUCUCCUUUUCAG